AUACGGAGGGGGCGAGCGUUGUUCGGAAUUACUGGGCGUAAAGGGCGCGUAGGCGGACGAUCAAGUCAGGGGUGAUAGUCCUGGGCUCAACCUGGGGACUGCCUUUGAAACUGAUUGUCUUGAGACCGGGAGAGGAUGGCGGAAUUCCCAGUGUAGAGGUGAAAUUCGUAGAUAUUGGGAAGAACACCGGUGGCGAAGGCGGCCAUCUGGACCGGAUCUGACGCUGAGGCGCGAAAGCGUGGGGAGCAAACAGGAUUAGAAACCCCAGUAGUCC
rnacentral:rRNA from 1 species